rnacentral:lncRNA from 1 species
AGUAAGCCAUUUUUCAUGUUGAGCUCUGUCACCAUUCUCAUUCAUUCUACUGUUGCGCAGUCUCUCUCUCUAACUUAAGCAUCGAAGGGUCCUUGUCGGAGAUAACUCCGAUCAGUAUGGAUUUUAUUUUGUAGGUGCUCGUCCCUGACGACAGGCGACGAGGGAGUUGACCGCAACAGAUUGGCGCAUCAGGAAGGAGGAGAGCUAGAAGGAAACUCGCAAUGACAAAAAUCAGAGCUCAAUGAUCAGCAGCGAUC